rnacentral:rRNA from 1 species
AACGAACGCUGGCGGCAUGCCUAACACAUGCAAGUCGAACGCCCCGCAAGGGGAGUGGCAGACGGGUGAGUAACGCGUGGGAACAUACCCUUUCCUGCGGAAUAGCUCCGGGAAACUGGAAUUAAUACCGCAUACGCCCUACGGGGGAAAGAUUUAUCGGGGAAGGAUUGGCCCGCGUUGGAUUAGCUAGUUGGUGGGGUAAAGGCCUACCAAGGCGACGAUCCAUAGCUGGUCUGAGAGGAUGAUCAGCCACAUUGGGACUGAGACACGGCCCAAACUCCUACGGGAGGCAGCAGUGGGGAAUAUUGGACAAUGGGCGCAAGCCUGAUCCAGCCAUGCCGCGUGAGUGAUGAAGGCCUUAGGGUUGUAAAGCUCUUUCACCGAUGAAGAUAAUGACGGUAGUCGGAGAAGAAGCCCCGGCUAACUUCGUGCCAGCCGCCGCCGUAAAAC